CGUGUAGGCGGUAUCAUAAGUCAGAUGUGAAAUCCCCGAGCUCAACUUGGGAACUGCGUUUGAAACUGCAAGACUAGAAUAUGUCAGAGGGGGGUAGAAUUCCACGUGUAGCAGUGAAAUGCGUAGAGAUGUGGAGGAAUACCAAUGGCGAAGGCAGCCCCCUGGGAUAAUAUUGACGCUCAUGCACGAAAGCGUGGGGAGCAAACAGGAUUAGAUACCCCAGUA
rnacentral:rRNA from 1 species